AAAACUCCAUUUUCUAGCUGCAGAUUAAAAUGCUAAGCUUCCUUCUACAUCCCUACAAGAGCUGUGAAGUCCUGGAAUUUUUCACUCUGUGUCUUUAGACCCCUGUUUUAAAAAUGUAUUUCUCCUUCCCCUGAAGGAGGUAGCCAGUACCCUCCUCCUCCAGUUUUCAGUCAAAACCGAAAAAGAUCACACAUCCGUCUUUUUCCAUCUGAUGGGUUGGUUCUAUUUUUUAUUUCAUGACUAACCAUUACCUCAUCCAAGCAUUUGCAUUUGAGGUCAUCUCAGCUCUCAGUGUCUAAAGGAAUGUCAGCGAGUAACAAAGGCUGGGGAAUUUUGAGGCAAGGCAGGAUGAACUGAAAUCACUUUUUCGGUCAGGAAGGCUGAAGUAAUUGUGUACCUGGACCAUCCGUGGCUCCCUUUCCCAGCACCUUCCUGUGGACAGCUCCAGGGCACUCUCUGGAAGCCAGAAUGGAUUCCUGCUGAUUUCACCCACAUAUUUGUCUUGAAUGAAAGAAUGGUGCAUGCCAGUGGA